rnacentral:misc_RNA from 1 species
GAUGAAGAACGUAGUGAAAUGCGAUAAGUAAUGUGAAUUGCAGAAUUCAGUGAAUCAUCGAAUCUUUGAACGCACAUUGCGCCCCUUGGUAUUCCGAGGGGCAUGCCUGUUCGAGCGUCAUCAUAACCCCUCAAGCUCAGCUUGGUGUUGGGGCCUGCUGCACUGGCAGCCCUUAAAAUCAGUGGCGGCGCCAUCUGGCUCUAAGCGUAGUAAUUCUUCUCGCUAUGGAGUCCUGGUGGAUGCUUGCCAUCAACCCCCAAUUUUUCUAUGGUUGACCUCGGAUCAGGUAGGGAUACCCGCUGAACUUAAGCAUAUCAAUAAGCGGAGGA